rnacentral:rRNA from 1 species
GACGAACGCUGGCGGCGGGCUUAACACAUGCAAGUCGAACGGAAAGGCCCUGCUUUUGUGGGGUGCUCGAGUGGCGAACGGGUGAGUAACACGUGAGUAACCUGCCCUUGACGUUGGGAUAACGUCAGGAAACUGGGGCUAAUACCGGAUAGGAGCUCCUGCUGCAUGGUGGGGGUUGGAAAGUUUCGGCGGUUGGGGAUGGACUCGCGGCUUAUCAGCUUGUUGGUGGGGUAGUGGCUUACCAAGGCUUUGACGGGUAGCCGGCCUGAGAGGGUGACCUGCCCCGUUGCGCCUGGACUGCGACCCAGCCUCCUCCGGGACGCAGCGGUGGAGUGUAGUGCCCUAUGCGCGGAAGCCUGCUGUGACCACGCCGCGUGGGGGAUGACGGCAUUCGGGUUGUAUUGUGCUUCCGCCUGUGCCGAGGCGAGAGUGACGGUACUGGGUAAAGAAGCACCGGCUAACUACGUG